CCUCCUUCGCAAAAAAUCAGUCCGCCAUUUCCCUCCUUCGCGAAAUUUUCAGACCUUUAAUUCAUUAUUCAUUCCAUCUCCAUUUCGCAUUCCAUCUCCAUGUCACAUUUCAGCCGCCACCGCCGCCGCCGCUCACUGCUGAAAAACGUUGGUCGGAAAGUGGAUAUAUAUAGGUUCCCUACUCAGACUCCAUCACCGCCGCGCCCGCUACUCAGACUCCGUCGGUUUUCUCGUUGCUUGUUUCUCGUCGCCGUCGACGUCGUUGCUUGUUUCUCGUCGCCCGUGCCUUAUCUGCUACAGUUAUCAAGGGAAUAUCAGCAUAAAAGGGGAUUGAGGCUGCAAAAAAUGGAUUAUCAACGGCGCAGAAGGGAAUUGAAGCUGCUGAUGAAGAGAGUGAAACAGCUCUGAGCUUCAGAGCGUUAGCACAAGCUGGCGGUGGUGAGCUUCGGCGGCGGUCCUCUUAUUCUUGGAUUUCUCCUAAGCUGCAAUCAAUUUCUUAAAACCACGGGCACAGUUUGAGCCUAAAAGGGUUGAACAUGAUCAGAGUAGAAUCUCACACUCCCAGAAGACAUCAGAUGUGAAGUUGAAGGAGAUGAAAGACUAGAUUAUUAGAGCAAAAGUAUACCUGAGUUUUUCUCCACAAGGUAGCAAAUCUCAUAUUGUGAAAGAGAUCAAGAUGCGAAUCAAAGACCGGGAAAGAGCUAUGGGUGAAGUUACUAAGGAGUCUGAUUUGUCUCGGAGGUAAGAUGAAGAUGAACUUAGGUCCUUUCCUUUUCCCUUUCAAAUGCCCCAACAUUUACAAAUAGGUGCAUGUAAUGAAUACAUCAGUUAAAAGAGCUUAUAUCACUAAAGAGCCCAAGCCAGUACUUAAAAGAAAUCUCCUUGAGCCUUCUCUGCAAAGUUGUGCAUCAUGUUCGUUGAGAAACCUAUGCUCAUGCUUGUUCUUGUCUACAGAAUUGGCGGAAAGCAAUGCACCAUGAUUUCCCUAUUUGUUUUGAGGUAUGAAAAGUAGCAAAUUAUAUCUCCCCCGAGGUGAUUUGUGUUUAUAUAUUAAAUCAGAUCAGUUUCUUCCUUUCUUCUUCAAACCUGAAUGAAAAUAUUAAUUGAUAGGGCUGCACUGAACUAGAAUUUGCUUCCAGUGGCAGUGUUGCUGUGUGCUUUGGUUGGGGAAUUUUAAAUUGGAUUUUGAUUGAAAUAAAAUAAAGGAGUAGGUGUGAAUGAGUAGAGGCAGUAAGUUCUGAAAUGCCGCUGGAUGAUAGGCAGUACUGCUGCAUUUGUGCUGCUGUGCUCUAAAUACAAUUGGUUUGUUUGAUUUAUAAAGUGAGGACUCUUGGGCAGUGAAAUGGAAAUAAAUGGGAAUGGAAGCAUUGUUGAUUGGGUAUAUGUGUAUAUGUGAUAUAUUGUGCUUGCUAUUGCUUGAAGGUGAUUUAAUUGAAUUUUGAUAUUGAAAAUAAGCUUGUGAAAUAGUUGAAUUGCUGCUGCUUGGUUCUAAUUGUUGCUGCUGUAUGCUCAUAAUGCUGUUAUGGUUUUAGAAUGAAUGAGUUAGGUUGGAGAUUAUAUUGUUCAUCUUUUGGCAACUUGAUUACUAUUUUCUGUGUUGAUAAAUAGCAAUUCCAAACCAAUUAUGAAAACUGCAGCCUAUGGGGUAAACCAUCAAUAUUUUCUAUGUAAUUUCGAUGAACAGCCAUCUUUAUUGGAUAUUAUGCUAAGCCAUCCCUUGAUGAUUCAUCAAUUUAUUUCUGAGGUGUUAAUAGCCAACCUUUUUUUUUUUUUUUGGGGUAAUAAUCUUGCGGGAAGAUGUAGUUGUAAAGUUGAUGGAACUUUUGGAGGCAUCUCAUGCUACGACUUCUGAACUACUUGCUGAAAAAGAGCAGUCAAGCAAGGGAAAGCGUAAGAGGGCUAGCAAUAAAAGUGGAUCCUCUGCUUCUGGAAGUUCAAAAGGCUCGGCUAAGCCCUUAGUGCAAGGGAAGUUUUGAACUUUACGCCCGUCAAUGGAAAGCCCAUAAGGAUUAUGUUUUCUCAUCAAGAUGACAAGAUCCCAUAUCCGCAAGACUGGAUUUGCAAAUGUUUACAUAAAGAAUUUGGAGUCAUCCAUUGAUAACAAGGCUUUGUAUGAGACAUUUGCUGCCUUUGGGACUGUUCUUUCCUGCAAGGUUGCCGGUGAUGGCAAUGGGAAAUCGAAAGGGCAUGGGUUUGUACAGUUUGAUGCAGAGGAGGCUGCGAACAAUGCGAACAAUGCAAUCAAACGACUGAAUGGCAUGCUGAUAAAUCUUGAUGAUAGCAUAACUGAUGAAAAACUGAAAGAGUUAUUCUCAGAGCAUGGAACCAUAUGAUCCUGCAAGGUGAUGCUUGAUCCACAAGGAACCAGCAAGGGUGCUGGCUUUGUAGCCUUUUCUAACCCGGCCAGAUGAAGCUACAAGAGCUGUAAGCUUUGCUAACUCCAUUUUUCUUUGUUAAAACUUAAAACCAUUCUUAAAAAUAGUUAAGAUGUCAGUGCACCAUGGCUAACAUUUCACUCUUUAAUUUCAGUUGAAUGAAAUGAAUGGAAAAUUGAUUGGACGAAAGCCAUUGUAUUGUCUGUCAUGUAAUGGCUAUUAUUUUCUUCGUGAAACACUUGUACGCUAAACUUUUGCUUGUCAAUUAUUUUGCAUAAUUGAAUAUUAUAGCUUCUAUAUCCAUGCCCUGAGAUUUGGAAUGUUAAAUCAUCUUGUUUCCAUUACAA